GUGAGGACCAUGGCGUUGCAUCCACAGACCAGGGAGUGUUCCCCACGUCUUCGUCUUUCUGGGUUUACCAGUGGGACCUGAGCAUGCAGGCUGAGGUGGAAGAAAGGGUACAGGCCAUGGUGGAAAGGUCCAGUCUGCUUUCCCAACGUCUAGUGAGUACAGGACAGCAAGAAAUGACCCUAUCCUGGAGCCAGCC